rnacentral:rRNA from 1 species
CGUGUAGGCGGUAUUGUAAGUCAGAUGUAAAAGGCUACGGCUUAACCGUAGAUUGUCAUUUGAAACUACAGUACUUGAGUGCGAGAGAGGGUAGUGGAAUUCCCAGUGUAGCGGUGAAAUGCGUAGAUAUGUGGAGGAACACCGAUGGCGAAGGCAACCUCCUGGGUCAUUACUGACGCUGAGGCGCGAAAGCUAGGGUAGCGAACAGGAUUAGAUACCCUGGUAGUCC